rnacentral:lncRNA from 1 species
UUUUUUCUUGCUCAAGAAGUCGGGAAAUCUCGUCAGGAAUCCCUUCAACAUCAUCUUCUUCCGCUUCGAAUACAGGGAAUUCAAAAUUGGGAGAUGACGUCUGAUCAUUAUGUUCAAAGGGUUUAAGAAACAACCUGCAUAAUGAUUUAGAGAUGAAAAGCUUUUUGAAAAACAAACAAGACAAUCGUUAUGCAGAUGAAAAGAUUGCUUUUAU